UAGAGCUAUAGAUUGUUUUUGAUAUAUGAUCUUAUCUUGGAUCCAUGGUCAAGUAUAUCAGCCAUUUGCAUUAGGUUAUUCUGUCCAGAGCUCGGUAUGUAUUAUAUAAAAUGUAAUAUGAACCAUUUGGGAGCAUUAGUGAUGACUUCUAUUGAACAAGAUAGAGCUUCCCUAGAAGAGCUUUGUAUUUUUGCAUUUAACUAUUUGCCAGUUGAUUUGUCGGAGGAUUUCCACCUGAAUACUGUUGUCACUACUUUCAUAAAUGGAUCAGUGACUUAGUAUGGGAACCGCAGGUUGAACGUACAGGCUUCUGGAAAUCAACUAGAGCGUUAAGUUUUUAAGGAUGCUUAUGAAUCCAGGACGUAUAAAUACAUUAAUCAAGGAGCUUAUUGAUUUCGAAUUAAUCCUGAACCAUUUAUGUAAUUCCGAAUUGGACAAGGACUCAAACCAAAGCAUCUUGCAAUUGGCUGCUGUCUUUCACAUCUGUUGCGACAGAUUCUGCAAAAAAAUUGAAGCCUGUUUCUCAGAUUUCACUAAUUAGGUCUCUUGAAUAGGCAUGAGACUUCAUUUUACUAUGACUUCAAAAGUCGAUAUGAACAGGAUUUCAUUAAUUUUAAUUUCAUUUAGUAGUAUGUAUGCCACAUAUUACACACAAUGCGCACAUAUAUGCAUACUACCAUCAUCUCCGAACCAUACCAUAAAUACAACGAUGCACUAAGCAUUGGACCAUGACUUAGUCACUUCAACUUUACAGCCCUGCACGGCCACGGCUCUUGUUCUCCUACUAUUGUAGAAAGGCAUUCUUCCAUAACGUAACCUUGCUAAUAUGACAACAACUUGAUGAGUCUAUUGACUUGGAUUCUUUCGUUGCUGAAUACAAUUUUAGUAUUAUUCUGCACAGUAAUAGAACGACCAAUUUUGCUAGCUUAAUUUGAAGAUCAGAGCACUAAAAACGAGUAUAAUGAAUUCAAUGACCAAACCUGCUGUUUUUGUAUGUGCUGUCUUCUUUACCUUUUUUAGUAUAUCGAAAUAACAACUUUUUUUUUAGUACCCUCUUCGUUCACUUUUAGUUGUUCACUUUUGACUUUGCACACCCUUUAAAGAAAUAUAUAUGAAGUAUGUAUUUUAUAAUUUUACCCAUAAUAAUGAUAGCAUUUCCAAAAGUUUUGGGAGAUAAUUUGCAAAUCACGCCACGAGAAACGGAUUCGCAACAUGCUUAUUUUAAUUAUUUGAAAUUAUGGUCAAGUCACGUGAAACGCGCACUCGAAUUGGAGAUUGCGUAUCAUGACUAUGCUACGGAACCGUAUCCAUAAUUACGAUUAUCUUAUGAAGACGCGCUUAAAGCGACUAACGUGUUUGUGAGUUAUUUGAACUAAACUUUGGGAUUAUUAUGCAACCCUAUUACAUGAGCAUGUACAUGCUUUCUUCUAAGAAUCCAAACCAAGCCUACAGUCCCUUAAAGCUAACAAAUAAUAGUCCAUUACCAAAAUCUAAUUAGCAUCAUUUUGUCGGUCACAACACAUACGCCUAUAUCAGAACCCAUGUUCAAAUUAGCUCAUAGACAUCAAUUGGCAGACAUGAAUUCUUUUCUAAAUUCAAUAUAUUUCAAAUUAUUUUAUUUCAAACUCAACAAAUCAAACAGCCCCUUCCUACUACAUAUUACUACAAAUUCAUAAGAAAAACAAAAAUAUUCAUCUACCCCCUAAAAAUUUACAAACGGAUUCACUGUAUGUCAUGAGCACACCAAAUAUGAACUUAAAAAUUAGUAGUUAAUUAGUAAUAUUCUCAACAAGACAAGUUAGCUAAAUGAUCAUGAGCUAAUCUCCAUUAAACAAAUAAAGACAAAAUUCUCGUCUAGAGGCAUAGAGUAAACAGAGAACUUCUCCAAACAUUAUUCAAACAUAAACAAAGUAAGAUAUGAAAAUCAAAAGAUAAAAUAAAAUGGAUAGAGUUAGAAUGGGACCUUUAAAACGCGAACGCUAGCAGAGCCACUAAUCUAAACUUGAAAGCAGACCGGACCACCGAACGGAGUUUGACAAACUCAACUGACCUCGCCGAAACUCGAUUUUUGAAGUGAGUAAAGGCUAUUUUGAAGCUGUUUUGGGGUUGUAUUGGACGGGUUUUAUGGCUGUUUUGACGAGGUAUUUCAACUGAUUUUCUGGCAGCGUUUUUGGAGUGUUAAAGGGUCGUUUUGGGGCUGGUUUUGUGGUGGUUUCACGAGCUGGGUUUUGACAGCAUUUUGAGGUCGUGUUUGACUAAAAAAUGAAGCUGCCUUCUAGCUUGUUUUCAGCUGAAAGUGAAGUACUUUUGGGAGUUAUUUCAACUAGGUUUGGCUUGGUGUUCAUGGUGAUAGAGCUUAGUGGAGUUUCAUCGAUGGGUUGAUUAAGUUUUUGAGGAAGAAGAAGCCUCUGCUGUUGAAGGAGGAGUAGACCAGUCCCUUUUUUUUUUUCGUUCUCUCCCUCUCCCUUUUUGCUCUCAUUUUCUCUUGUGCAAAGAAUCUCCCCCNNNN
rnacentral:lncRNA from 1 species